rnacentral:rRNA from 1 species
AUUGAACGCUGGCGGAAUGCUUUACACAUGCAAGUCGAACGGUAGAGGGGGCAACCCCUCGAGAGUGGCGAACGGGUGAGUAAUAUAUCGGAACGUGCCCAGUCGUGGGGGAUAACGUAGCGAAAGUUACGCUAAUACCGCAUACGAUCUAAGGAUGAAAGCGGGGGAUCGCAAGACCUCGCGCGAUUGGAGCGGCCGAUAUCAGAUUAGGUAGUUGGUGGGGUAAAGGCUCACCAAGCCAACGAUCUGUAGCUGGUCUGAGAGGACGACCAGCCACACUGGAACUGAGACACGGUCCAGACUCCUACGGGAGGCAGCAGUGGGGAAUUUUGGACGAUGGACGCAAGGCUGAUCCAGCCAUUCCGCGUGCAGGGUGAAGGCCCUCGGGUUGUAAACUGCUUCUGUACGGAACGAAAAGGUCUCUCUUAAUACGGGGGACUCAUGACGGUACCGUAAGAAUAAGCACCGGCUAACUACGUGCCAGCCGCCGCGGUAA